rfam:Felis catus isolate Cinnamon breed Abyssinian chromosome D1, whole genome shotgun sequence.
GCCUGGGUGGCUCAGUCGGUUAAAUGUCUGACUUUGGCUCAGGUCAUGAUCUCGCAGUUCGUGGGUUCGAGCCCCACUUCCGGCU